rnacentral:rRNA from 1 species
UACGUAGGGGGGCAAGCGUUGUCCGGAAUUAUUGGGCGUAAAGCGCGCGCAGGCGGUGAUGUAAGUUUGGUGUAUAAGCCCGGGGCUCAACCUCGGGACGCACUGAAAACUGCAUGACUGGAGUGCAGGAGAGGAAAGUGGAAUUCCACGUGUAGCGGUGAAAUGCGUAGAGAUGUGGAGGAACACCAGUGGCGAAGGCGACUUUCUGGCCUGUAACUGACGCUGAGGCGCGAAAGCGUGGGGAGCAAACAGG